UACGGAGGGAGCUAGCGUUGUUCGGAAAUACUGGGCGUAAAGCGCACGUAGGCGGCGCAGCAAGUCAGGGGUGAAAUCCCGGGGCUCAACCCCGGAACUGCCCUUGAAACUGCAGUGCUAGAAUCUUGGAGAGGCGAGUGGAAUUCCGAGUGUAGAGGUGAAAUUCGUAGAUAUUCGGAAGAACACCAGUGGCGAAGGCGACUCGCUGGACAAGUAUUGACGCUGAGGUGCGAAAGCGUGGGGAGCAAACAGG
rnacentral:rRNA from 2 species